CCCAUGUGCUGUGGUGUGCUCCUAUAGUCCCAGUUCUCAGGAGGCUGAGGCAGGAGGAUCACUUGAGCCUAUGAGUUGGAGGCCAGCCUAGCCAACAGAGUAAAACCCUGUCUCAA
rnacentral:sRNA from 1 species